CCAGCCAUGUGUUCCUCAACUUUUCAUAAUCUGGCGUUUGAACAUUCGUAUCAGCCACAGCGAUUUGAUGUU
rnacentral:sRNA from 1 species